GAUGUUCUAACGUGGACCCGUUACCCGGGUUGCGGACAGUGUCUGGUGGGUAGUUUGACUGGGGCGGUCUCCUCCUAAAGAGUAACGGAGGAGCACGAAGGUUGGCUAAUCCUGGUCGGACAUCAGGAGGUUAGUGCAAUGGCAUAAGCCAGCUUGACUGCGAGCGUGACGGCGCGAGCAGGUGCGAAAGCAGGUCAUAGUGAUCCGGUGGUUCUGAAUGGAAGGGCCAUCGCUCAACGGAUAAAAGGUACUCCGGGGAUAACAGGCUGAUACCGCCCAAGAGUUCAUAUCGACGGCGGUGUUUGGCACCUCGAUGUCGGCUCAUCACAUCCUGGGGCUGAAGUAGGUCCCAAGGGUAUGGCUGUUCGCCAUUUAAAGUGGUACGCGAGCUGGGUUUAGAACGUCGUGAGACAGUUCGGUCCCUAUCUGCCGUGGGCGCUGGAGAACUGAGGGGGGCUGCUCCUAGUACGAGAGGACCGGAGUGGACGCAUCACUGGUGUUCGGGUUGUCAUGCCAAUGGCACUGCCCGGUAGCUAAAUGCGGAAGAGAUAAGUGCUGAAAGCAUCUAAGCACGAAACUUGCCCCGA
rnacentral:rRNA from 2 species